UUUGUGUUUGGCCUUGUAUUUUCGUUGUAAUGGAUUUUUUAUUUUCAAAGGAGAUGUGAUAUUCUCUAUACCUAUUUCUAAGUGAUCUUUUGCACAAUACUGUCUUCUUUUUUAACUCUAAUGAUUGCUAGUCAGUUCCUGUAACCGUGUUUUACAGUGGAAAAUGCAAAGAUGAGAUCCUGCAUGAUUUGGCUGAAUACGAGGUCCUACAUAAUUUGGUUCAGUAGCUCGUAUUGUACAGAACACUAGGAUUAGUAAGAAUGAAAAACAUACUCAUGUAUUUGCUCUUUAUCCUUCUCUAUAAUCAGUUCAUUUAGUAAUAUUUCAAACUUUUUUACUAGAUGGAGAAUCACUCAAAUACAUAAGACUCAGUUCGUACAAAACAGUUGGAGAACAAUUCCAUGCAAUGGAAUAGAAUGACUAGUUCAUCUCAUGUUAGUGAGGACAUCUAUGGUGACGGCAUGGACAACGAGAAUACAUGGACGGCAACGACUUGUCUUUUUGAACAACUUAUGUCUUAGCUGUCUUUUGUCUUCUGAACAUGUAUUGUUGAGCUGUUGAGCCUAGAUACUACAAUGUUACAUAGCAUAUAACAUGGAUAUACAUGAAUAACUUAGGAUGCAUGUGUUGGUGGUAGGAUGAUGGUGGUACAAUGACGUUUGUGAUAUGUACGUGAUGUCUGUAAUAUAUAUGUGUUGUUGAUGGCAUAUAUGUGAUGCCUAUUAUAUAUA